rnacentral:lncRNA from 1 species
UGCGUAUGUGGUGGGUUCUGACCUAAGGGAGCAUAGUCGAUGCGCGCAAUUGAGAUGCCGAGGGUGUUGAGUCCAGCAAUCUGCAUGACGUUGAUCAAAGUGACGUUGGAUCCAACCUUGUUGGUCACCCUAGGCUUGUCGAGGUUGGCUGCCUUGAAGAAGUCGUCUGCGUUAACUUCCAUCGGGUUCUUGCAAACAAACCCAUUGACACGCACUGGGUGCAUAGAGGAGAUGUAACAUGUAAGGUUAGAUCUUACAAAGUCGUUUUAACUUGAAUAUUUCAGAAUCUGAUUGCAACAUACGUAUCUGGUGAUAACAUGACAGGAAACCAUGAAGUACAUAGUACCUGGUGAAUGCAGGUCGGCGACGCAAAAGUCCUGGAGUGGGCUAGGAUCAGAGGCAGUGGCCUGCCAUGAGACCAGUGCAAUAAGAGCAGCAAAGAGAAGGAUAGAAGAGGAGGAUGCCAUUUGAGUUUAGUUUCUUUGGCUCUUCUUUUCUCUUGUGUUCCUGUUUGUGUUUGUUGCCUGAGUGAUGCUUUGAGCUUGCAGGGGUUGUAUGUGUUUAUAUAGGCGCAGUGAGCCGUGUGCGAACUCGGGAGCAAUAGACAUAGUCAGGUGGAACUGCACAACAGAUUGAAAUGGUCUCUGGCUGCUGAUUAAACUAUUUUGCAUAAACGUUUUCCCUUCAAAUGAAGCAAUGCAGGGUAUACAGAUAGAUAAAGGAACUCUAUGUGAUGUACGACUGAGUAGUAACUAUGAUUGUUUCUCCAUUUAACCCGAGUCUCAACAAUGCAUGCAGGGCUAAUUCCAGGAAAAUUCACCACCCGUCGCCAUUAUUGAUGAAGGAAAAGAUUUAUAAACAAGAAAUAUCCGGCAAGAGAAACAAAUGAAUUCCACAAGUUUAAUUAUAUAUCUAAAUAUCCUGUGUUUCUAUCAUACUAUCAUAUACCUGGUCAUAGUCUGAACUGGUGCCCGCGAAAUCAGUCAAAAAGAGCAGUUGAGAAAAGCCAAGUUAUACAAGGCAAACAAUUGUUUUCUAGCUCGAGGCUGACAUAGACAAAGUUACCUACUCUUACGUGAGCCUGAUUCAUGGGUGCAUGACUACUAAAGACAUAUAGAGUGUGCUAUCUAGCUUUUGGCACUACCAAAUUAUAUAUUUGCCAAUAGAUUUCUCAUGAAAAUCCAGCAACAUAAGACGACAGAGUAGUAAACGGAUUUGUAGCAGCCCCUGUAUGUUAUCAUCAUGUCAAUCCGAUAUUUACUUGGUCAGAUGUCUCUCGAAGUGGUUGAGUACUUACAGGAAGAAGCAACGACAUUAAUGGACGAAGUACCAAACCAAAAGGACAGAUGAUACAAACGCCAUGACGAUGGAGAGCAGGAAGUUUCCAUAUGACCUAAGCAAGACUAGUUAACAUCUUCUAGCGAAGAGUUUUAUCAUGCAUGACCAGUUCAGUGUAUAAAUCUAGCCUUCCUGACUAGGUUCAUGGCACCAGACCUCACCUGCUUCUUUUGCUAGAGUAAAUAGUGCAUCGAAUGACUAGACUAGGCCAAGCGACCACUCAUAAACAGAUUAAUUUCUUGGAGGUGUCUGUUGGCAGAUUUAGUAUAGAAAGAAGUUUCCAGAUGAUUUAAUUGCUUCUAUCACAAGCUUAUUACAAAGAAACAACUCAAAUAAUAAUUGUUUUUUUGGGACUCAGAUGUCUACAAUAGUUUUUCUGGAGAAUGAUCAAUCAAACUUACAAGACUUUGAAGCAACUUUUGGAAGCAACUUUUGCACAUUCAACUUGCACAUUGCAACCUCUGAGCACAUUAACAUAUAAUCAUCUAUUGGCUUUUGAUUAAAUUUUUGCACAAACUUCUCAAGUUUCCUUUUAAUAUGCCUAAGCGCUAUUGCAUCAUCUGGUGUAUGGCUGAGUAGUAUUUACGAUUAUUUAUCCAUCUCACCCAAGUCGGCACAAUGCAUGGAGGGCUGGUUCCAUGAAAAGUCACGACCCAUCACCAUAGUUUAUUAGAUAUCACAUACUUGGUCAUGGUGAGAACUGGUGCGCACGAGGUCAAGGAGCAGUUGAGAAAAGACAAGUGAUGCAAAGCAAUCAUUUUCUACCUAGACAAAGUCAUCUGCUUAGAUUUAUCCACUCUCCAUUCUUUUAAGUUGCUUCAGAAUGCGUGCAACCAAGCUUUUCAAGCUGUGGCCACUAACAUAAUCAAACUAUAUAUUUGUCACCGGAUUUUUCAUGAACAAAACUGUGCACAAGAUAUGGCAUGGGAUAAAAAGAACAUACAUGUACUUAUACGUUUAUAGAUGUGUGUUAGCAGCUUAACAUACAUAUGAUUAGAAAGCACGGUUGGAGAUAUAAUGGAAUAUCUUACCAUCCUCCAAGAAAAAAUAAACAGAGAAACUAGGCAAUAUGAGUCACCUAGUGAUAUAAAAAAAAUAUUAGGUUGCAAGUUGACGCAGUAGUUAACGGAUUGUGUCAAUGAGGACGAAGACACGCAAGCAUGAACAAUGAUGGUAGAGAGCAGAAACAAUUCAUGUGAUCUUAGUAAGAGUAGUUAACAUCGUCUUGCUAAGAGAUUGAUCAUGACCAUUUAAUGCAUAAAUCUGACAAUCUAGUCGGCCUUUCUUGACUGGGCUCAUGACACACCUCACCUGCCUCUUUUGAUAGAGUAAACAGGACAUCCAAUGCCUAGGCCGGGUGACCACUCAUAAACUAAUUAUUUUCUUUAAGGUGUGUGUUGGUAGUUUUGAUACAGUAAAGAUGUUUUCAUAAGACAAAUAAAAUGGAUCAAGAACGAAGAAGAAGAUAGGCCUCAACAUCAUCCUCGUGGACGACAUCAGAGGCUAUCUCCGCCGCCGGCCCUAGACACACGCACUCUCGGACUCCCUGGUAGCCAUCGAUCGGCACCACGCUGAGCAAAGCCCCGGGUGAUGGUAUGCGGCAGUGGGAUAUCCCUUCUCUCCGCUCUGAUCCACUCUCUGGUCUCUGUGGCUAACCCUAGCAUCUCACACCACCGCCGCUGCUAUCCCCCACCUCAGGAGGUGGGCCGCUGACCUAAGAUUUCGUGGCAUGUCUAGUGGGGUCAUGGUUCACUUGGUUCGUGCAUGGAUCAGGGAACUCUGCCUGGCAGCAAUGCUCUCCCAGACCAGGCAGCAUCAUUGUCGUUGACCUAUGAGGGGUGGUUGCGAUCAGACGGGAUGUGGCUGCCCAUUGCCUCUCAAUGGUUCCACCGCAGGUGAGAUCCUCCCUGCCCCCACCCGGAGUGAUCAGUUCGCUUCGUCGGCGGUCUUAGGCCCGACAAGAUUUGGUCAUGGUCGUGGACUUGGGCUAGGUCGAGCUUCACUAGGGUUUGAUGGCUUUCUCUGGUGACCUCGUACCAACAGCUUGGUGGCGGGGCCUAGGUUUGGGAUGUCGUACGUUGAGGCGAUGGCCCUGGAUAGCAGGUUGGACGUCAGGCGAGGGUGCGGGAUGGUCCAAGCGAAAGUUUGGUGCCUCGACGCUGGUUGAGGCGAUGGCUUGGUAGUCAUGUCCCUCUUGCAGUCGUCACCAUUGUUCUCCCGCCCUCCCAGCUCAGGGUGAAACCCUUGUCCGCCCUAAUGGACGCAAUGGUGGCGGUGCAUUGCUUCAUGACCAUCUUGGGUUCGUCAUCGGUGAGUGUAGUUGUCUUUCAGUCAAGGUGGCGUGUUCGGAAUGGUAUGGCGAUCCAAUCGAACCUACCUCAAAUCUGGUGACUCGGCGUAUUACUUGCACCUAUCUUGUACACGCAACAAUAUCCUCCUUUCAUCAUGUUUUUGCUCGCUCUGGUACGGCCAACGCUGCUUGGUUUAGGCAGAGGGUCCUCUCUAAGAGAAGUUAGGUGGUCUCGGCGCGGUAAAGUCCAAUGUUUUCUUCCAGGUGGUGUGUGGUUGAAUGUCGUCGUCGGUCCUGCUUCAGUCAUUAGGAGGUCCACCCUCUCUUGUGCUUCCUCUCGGCGGCAUGCUGGAGGCGUCUAAUUUGGCACUUCCGGUGCUUCUUAGCGUGUUUGGCUUGGUUUGCCUUGCUUUCUUUGAUCAUCUUGUAUGAUGAUUUGCUCAACACCAUGUAUCGUUCAGCCAAGCGGCCGAAGUCCGUUUUGUGAUAAAUGCUUCUAUGACAGGUUUGUUACAAAGAAGCAACUCAUAUAAUAUUCAUUUAUGGGCGGUUUAGGUAAUAAUCAUUUCUUUUUUGUAUUUAUGCAUGUUUUUUGUAUGUAUGUUGGACCUAAUUUUUGGAACCUGGUCUCUGGUGUGCCCAGUUUCUACACUUAGUAAAAAUCAUAUUUUUUAGUUCUCAACUUAAGAAAAACAAAAAUAAUGCACAUAAGUAUUUUGAUAAAACAGGACACCUCAUCAAAUUUCCAUUAAAGCAACCUUCAAUCGAACUUACAAGAGUUCUGAACCAAAAGGAAGCUAAAAUAUUACAUGCGGGAACCGUAAAUUUCUUAUUGCAUGCACCAUAAAGCGAGAGUGCAGAAUAACGACUCCAGGAAGCAACUUUUGCACAUUCAACUUUCACACUUAAAUCCUGAGAACAAUCAGGCUCCAACUAUUGCAUACUUCGCAUGUAUUAUAAGAUAAUCCUAGGUGUUCAACCCUAGCAUCAAACAUAUACUGGAUUACCAGAUAAUCAUGUAUUCUUUCUUUUCUUACCUAAUCAUCUAUUAUUUCGGAACAAGGGGAAAAGAACCCAAAAACUUUAUGAGAAAUACGACACAUUAGAACCAAAAAAAACAUAUGAGAUCAUCCGUGUGAUAAAGAACGAUAUUGUCAAUUAUUCUGAAGGUAGAAAUACAUUCACUCAUUACAGACAUGGAAUGGAAUGGCAUAUGCUCCAUUUAUUUUAUAGAUUAGGAUGCAUAUCUAGAAACUCAAACAUGUCCUUAAUUUGCACACUGGUCUUCUGUGUAAUCAGCCAACCUUUCACUUAGUUGUGGUUGUUCUCCCAGAACUGAGCCUGGAGCCAGUCUAUUGUAUUCUUUUCCACCUGAAACGCCUUGGCAAGAACAUCAUCGGAUAUUGGUGGGUCUGACCCAAACACCGCAUUGGCAAUUGUGAUAGCCCCUGGGUUCUGGCUGCUGAGCGCGGCAAUUGCAACGGCGGGCUGAUGGGGGUUGGGGUUGAAUUGGAAAUGGAUGAGUCCCACGGGGAAGACAAAUACAUCACCUUUGUUGAGCACCUUCGAGAAGAACUUGUUUCUGGCUGGGGCGGGCAGGUUGGAUGUGACAAAGCCAACGUACAGUGUCCCCUCGAGCACCGUGAGGAUCUCAGUGGCGCGGGGGUGCGUAUGUGGUGGGUUCUGGCCUAAGGGAGCAUAGUCGAUGCGCGCGAUUGAGAUGCCGAGGGUGUUGAGUCCAGCAAUCUGCAUGACAUUGAUCAAGGUGACGUUGGAUCCAACCUUGUUGGUCACCCUAGGCUUGUCGAGGGCGGCUGCCUUGAAGAAGUCAUCAGCGUUGACCUCCAUCGGGUUCUUGCAAACAAAUCCAUUGACAC